UAACAGGAUGUGUUGUUUUACACGGGGAAAAAAGGUAUGAUGCCUUGUUUCCCACUUUCCCCAAUUUAGCGCUAACCUCCCCGUGCCCACACCUCCACCUCUUGCGCACGAAGCGUUUUCCUGUUCCCCCGUCGUUUUGGCCUUCAGCCUAAGCGAGAGAUGCACCUACAACAGCUAGGGUUCCAACCACCACCGUCCUUGGCCCUCGACCGCCUCCCCUGUUCCCUCAGUAUGUUCAAGAGCCUCCGCCAAGCCCUCCUCCCUCACCACUCUCUCCGCGCGUCGGGGACGCACUCGACGUCGUCGCGCCUCCUCCUCGCGUUGGGAAACGCGUCGCCGCCGUCGUUUCAUCCGCAUGGCCGGCGAUGCAGACGCCGGCGUUGUUCAUCCACAAUCCACACAGCCAGGAACGACGCAAGCACUGACGCCCCCGUCUUCCUCACACUGCAGUAGUUCAGCCGGAUUCUUCUACCCAAACGUCGAACAAGAGAUGAUUUCUGCAGAGAGACAACAAGUUCAGAACCUUUAUGGUAUUUUGCUUAGUGUGUCCCCUGCUCUCUCUCUCUCUCAUUACGUAAAUAUUGUGCUCAUGUUUUUGUGUAUCAUGCAUGUUGUUAAGGAAAUUACCAUAAUUUCGUGGUCAACCAAAAAGGCAUCUAAUCUUCAUCCCUUGAUCUCCCAGCUAGAGUUGGGGUAACCAAUUCUUAGUUUUUAAUUCAUGAUGGUUCUAAUUCACUUACAUUCAAGCCUCAUAAUGCUACUUUUAAGCCUCAUAACAAUCAGUAAAGUGUAAGACAAAAACCAUGUAGAAAAGCAAGUUCAACAACCUUUUUCACCAAGCUUAUACCUGAAUGGGCUGAUGCAUGUAGAUAUGAUAUGUAAUUUUAGUAAGACGGGAACAUGAAGAUUGAUGUUUCAAGUGAUGAUAAUGCAUAGGGACUGGAGGCGUGGUUUGAGGUGGCAGUUAACCGUGCAAUUUUCAUGAAGAAUGAUUGCGUACAUUUUUACUCAAUACUCGUUUCUUGUGAUGCAUUAGGUUUUAGUUUUCUUGCUGCUAUGUGUGUGGAUCAAUCCUUACUCUUUUUUCAUAAUGCUUGUGGUAUGAGUCCUUAUCUCUGCUUGGGGUGACGCUGCAAGAUCGGACGGAAACCAGACUUCUUAUGGUAGGCUCAGUCUCGUAUGUUCUUUUACCCUGCAGCUAAUCAAUUAUUCUGUGAUGUCCUCUCUUGUAUUCUAAUUAUGGCAUGCUCUUGUUUAUACUAAUUAGAUCAAGCACUCCUUCAAGGUCAAGUCAGGGGCUCAGGGUAGACAGUUCAUAGUUUUCUUGCUGUUUCGUCUUUCUGUUUGUUAGUUCAUUAUGCACGUCUUCUUUCUAUGCAUGUGUUGAUAACUCCAGUUGUUCCAAUCUGAUGAUGCUUUUUCUCGUGUUGUUGCUUCUGCAGGUUCUGAGAAUUUUACAUGGAUCAGGAAAUUCUAAUGUUUGACUUUGUAGUACUCAGGUAACAAUGACGUUUUGUGUAAUGUAGAUUAUUUAAAGAUUUUUGAUUUGAUGGCACUGAGAUUCUCCUAACACACCAUAGCAAGCAUGACUAAUAAAUCGUCCCAAGAAUGGGUAGUACGGGAGUGAUGUGCCCCAAAGCUAAUUAGUGCAGAGACCAUUGGAGAAUAGAAAUAUUGAAUUAUGUAUAGUUGGUAUAACUGGUCACCUAGAAUACUUAUCACUUAGUCGGUUGCUGGGCUCAUCUCACUAUUACUAUUAAUAUAAUUUUGGAUAAUUUUUGGUAGUAAAUACAAGCUGAUGGUUGUUCACAAUGAAUAGCCACAUACGAUUGGUCAAAGGUACUUGGUGUUUUAAUAAGGAGAUUUUUAUCUGAACGAGCCAUGGGUAUUCAGAACAUGUGCAUGACAAUGAAGAGAGAAAUAGAAUGUCCUCGGUUUACAAAGUAAGGGUGAAGACCCGGAGUCUCUGUGUUUGUACUUCAUAGCAUGGCAAUGACCCUUUCGCUAGUGCAUAUUUUGUUAUUUCUUUACAGAGCGAUGCUACUGAUGUUGCAAGUAUCUGCACUUUCCACUUCUGCAUUUUGGUCUUUUUUAUAAAAAAUAGACUGGAACAUAUAACUAUAUAAUAAUAGUUCAUAUAGUUUUGAAUUGAUGCGAGAUGCAAAAAAAUCAGUACAUGGAUAUAGGGCAUAAUCAUGUUAUUUAAUAAUUGUUGUAGAUGUUUUUAUAAUUAGAUUAUUAAUUAUCCCACCUCUGUGUACAAAUCUAUGUCUUGGUAAAAAAACAUUUUUACAGUGCUGCUUUAAAUUUUACUUCUCUAUUAAUCUAAUUUACUUUACUGUAAUCGCUUGCCUCAUAUUGUUAUUUUGUAGAUUACCAAGAUAAAUUGAGGAUGCAUGACUCAUAUUUUGAUUGCAAGGCCAAGAAGAUUUUGAUUCCGAGGCAAAUAGUUAGGCUACAAGUCAAUUAGAAUGUAACUUUUAGUAUCAAUGUUUCAAACAUUAUAGUUGAUGGCAAGGUCAAUAAUUGGCCUACUACUAGAUAGUUUCACCUCUUGUAAUCUUUGGACCAUGUUCUUUGUAAUGCCACAUAUUUGAUUUAAUAUAUGAGACUGGAUUGUUUAUUA